CAGUUUGUUCUUAUCGCCAAUCAAUGGAGCGGUACAUUGUUGGUUACGAAUUAAUGUCGCUUUGCAGCAAGUGACGGUGAUCGGACUCGGCAAGUAAACGGUCACUGAGUCGCCCGAUAGCUUUUUGACUCGCCCCGUCGCGGACGCCAACCUCGGGAGCGGUAGGGUCACUCGCCCUGGUCGCGCUCGGGAGGGUUCUGUGAUCCGGCGAGCGGUGGCGGAAGGAAUAGCGGGCGGCGGCAGCGACAAGAUCAACUACGUGUUCAAGGUGGGUUGAUCGGGGACUCUGCGGUGGGGAAGUCGCAAAUCCUGGCGCAAUUCGCGCGCAACGAGUUCAGCCUCGACUCCAAGUCCACCAUCGGAGUGGAGGUCCAGACGCGGACGCUCAUCACCCAGCACAAGAGCGUCAAGGCCCAGAUCUGGGACCGCUGGCCAAGAGAGGCAUGGAAUUGAUGAGUUAUUUAACGAGUAAACAAACAGAGGUAUAGAGCUGUCACCAGUGCCUACUACCGUGGGGAGGUUGUGGCCUUGUUGGUGUACGACAUCACCAAGCGCCAAAGCUUCGACCAUAUUCCUCGAUGGCUCGAGGAGCUCAGAAGCCACGCUGACAGGAGCAUUGUGAUCAUGUUGGUAGGCAACAAGACAGACCUCGAGGACCAAAGAGGCAUAACCACAGAAGACGCCGCGAGUUCGCUCAGAAGGAGAACCUCUUCUUUCUAGAAACGUCCGUGCUGGAAGCCACAAACGUCACGAAUGCUUUUCAGACCAUGCUGACGGAAAUCUUCAACGAUGUCCCUUUUUCACUUUAUUUUUUAGUGAAUCUUUGAACUUAAAAAAUUCAAGUCUCCUUUAUCAGACAA